CUACGGAGGGUGCAAGCGUUAUCCGGAUUUACUGGGUUUAAAGGGUACGCAGGCGGUAAUUUAAGUCAGUGGUGAAAGCCUACAGCUCAACUGUAGAACUGCCAUUGAAACUGAAUUACUUGAGUAUGGUAGAGGUAGGCGGAAUACAACAUGUAGCGGUGAAAUGCAUAGAUAUGUUGUAGAACACCGAUUGCGAAGGCAGCUUACUAAACCAUUACUGACGCUCAUGUACGAAAGCGUGGGGAGCGAACAGGAUUAGAAACCCUAGUAGUCC
rnacentral:rRNA from 1 species